AGAGUUUGAUCCUGGCUCAGGAUGAACGCUGACGGCGUGCCUAACACAUGCAAGUCGAGCGGUUCUCUUCGGAGAAGAGCGGCGGACGGGUAAGUAACGCGUGGGUAACCUGCCUCAUACACAUGGAUAACAUACCGAAAGGUAUGCUAAUACAAGAUAAUAUAAGAGAUUCGCAUGGGUCUCUUAUCAAAGCUCCGGCGGUAUGAGAUGGACCCGCGUCUGAUUAGCUAGUUGGUAAGGUAACGGCUUACCAAGGCGACGAUCAGUAGCCGACCUGAGAGGGUGAUCGGCCACAUUGGAACUGAGACACGGUCCAAACUCCUACGGGAGGCAGCAGUGGGGAAUAUUGCACAAUGGGCGAAAGCCUGAUGCAGCAACGCCGCGUGAGCGAUGAAGGCCUUCGGGUCGUAAAGCUCUGUCCUCAAGGAAGAUAAUGACGGUACUUGAGGAGGAAGCCCCGGCUAACUACGUGCCAGCAGCCGCGGUAAUACGUAGGGGGCUAGCGUUAUCCGGAUUUACUGGGCGUAAAGGGUGCGUAGGUGGUUUCUUAAGUCAGGAGUGAAAGGCUACGGCUCAACCGUAGUAAGCUCUUGAAACUGGGAAACUUGAGUGCAGGAGAGGAAAGUGGAAUUCCUAGUGUAGCGGUGAAAUGCGUAGAUAUUAGGAGGAACACCAGUAGCGAAGGCGGCUUUCUGGACUGUAACUGACACUGAGGCACGAAAGCGCGGGGAGCAAACAGGAUUAGAUACCCUGGUAGUCCACGCCGUAAACGAUGAGUACUAGGUGUCGGGGGUUACCCCCUCGGUGCCGCAGCUAACGCAUUAAGUACUCCGCCUGGGGAGUACGCUCGCAGAGUGAAACUCAAAGGAAUUGACGG
rnacentral:rRNA from 1 species